UACGUAGGGGGCAAGCGUUGUCCGGAAUCAUUGGGCGUAAAGCGCGUGUAGGCGGCCCGAUAAGUCCGCUGUGAAAGUCCAGGGCUCAACCCUGGAAUGCCGGUGGAUACUGUCGGGCUCGAGUCCGGAAGAGGCGAGUGGAAUUCCUGGUGUAGCGGUGGAAUGCGUAGAGAUCCGGAAGAACACCGGUGGCGAAGGCGGCCCGCUGGGCAGUGGCUGACGCUGAGGCGCGACAGCGUGGGGAGCAAACAGG
rnacentral:rRNA from 1 species